rnacentral:tRNA from 1 species
CGCGGGAUGGAGCAGUGGUAGCUCGUUGGGCUCAUAACCCAAAGGUCGUUCGUUCGAGUCGGGCUCCCGCAA